rfam:Stegodyphus mimosarum contig76995, whole genome shotgun sequence.
GCCUUCGUGGUGUAGUGGUCAGCACGCUCGACUCCUAAUCAAGAGGUCCGUAGUUCGAUUCCCGGCAAAGGCA